rnacentral:lncRNA from 1 species
GGUUGGUAAACGGUUCAUGGUUGACAGUUAACGGUUGAGUAGUGACGGUUAAUUGACAGGCAUUUGUCAUAUUAAUAGGCCAUCAUUGGCCGUUAUCCCAUUUUUACCAUGUGAGAGUCGAGGAGAUUCACUCAAACAACGUAUGCAACCUUAGCAUACCAAGUCAUGUUAUUCGAUCAUUUCCAAGCAUGAUUUAUUCAUCUCAAAAGAGAACGAGUACGAUAAAGUACACACUCGACUCCAUUUUUCAAAACCGAGUAGGCUAAGUAAGCAAUCUAGCAAGUUAAGCAUGUAUCGAGUUCAUAUGGUCAUUUAUAUGGUUAAUCAUUUAACCAAUUCAUGUAGAUAUACAAUGCAAGUAUACAUUCCUUAAAUAGGCAUGAGUAUGGUAAAUACUCAACACAUAGCACUUAACAUUUAAUAAUCAUGAAAUAAGCAUGUCCUAGACUUAUUCAAUUACGUAUUCCUAUAUGGAACACUCACCUAGUCAAAAUAAGCGAGUAGUUCUCAAACAAGCGUUUUAGGUGUCCGCUCCGAGUUCCUCUUGGAGAUUCCCUCGAGUGCCUGAGCAAACAAUAAUCAAGUACCACUCAAUAUCAUUAUGAAUCUCUAAUUAUCGAGGAAGAUUGUACGCUAGUGCAAUCUAAGAAAAUCUUAUGAAAAUGAACCUCAAUUACUCGUAAAUCGAGAUUUAAGUGGAGUUUCUUAAAGUACAUGAGCAAUCGAGUUUUCAUUUUGGAAAUCAAGUAUAAAAUGUUCAAGUAAUAUCGAAGGAAUAAAGAGUAUUUGAAAACUCCCUUCCCUUGGAAUUCGGAAAAUUUUUAGGUUUGAUAUGAUACUUUGAAAAAUCGUAUCUCACAUUCUACAUGUCAAAAAUUGGAAAGCUCGGUACCAUUAGAAACCUCUUUGAAAGUACUAAAAGUUCUUAGAAGACACUUUUCCAUGAAUGUAAGUGAAAGGCACUCAAAUUUUGGCUCAAAGUUGGUAACUUGAAUUACCAAGACAGAUUUAAGUUGGUUUUUGGCCAACUUUGGAAAUUCGGCAAAAUUCACUUGUUUUGAACUAACCUUUGAAAUUUGUAAAUCAAUUAGUGUUGUAAUCCAAGAGUAUAACAAAAUAAGUGGAAAGAGAAACGGAGUUUCGAGCAACAAGAUAUAGUAGCUCCAAGUUGCUGAAAAAGUUAAGACUGUUGGGUUAUUUUCCAGGUUUGAAGACUAGAUUCGAAGUAUCAUUUGGUCAUUGAGUUGGCAUUAGAAAUACAUCAAACUUGGUACACUAAAUCUUCCAUGUGUGAACAACAUUUCUACCAAGUUUCAUACAAAAACUCUCACGGUAAGGCAGUCAUUAAAACAACCAAAGUUUAUGAAGAGUUUCAAGGCUAAACUACCUUCUCACUUUUCUUUUGUUUACAAACUUUUUGUACCAUGAAAUCAGUUCCAAAUCUCUUCAUUAUUGAAACCAAGAGUUCAUAAACAUCCACUGAGCAAUUUAAAGACCAUUGACAUCUAAAUUUCUGAAAUAAAACUCUCCAAAUCAGAUUUGACCAUUUGGCUAAGAGAAAACGAAAAAUUUUCCAGAUUCGAUGAGCGAAUCUUGUGACAUCAUUUGCAUAUCAAAAUGGUCUUAGAAUAUUACCAAAUUUCAUACAAUUAAACCUCCAUAUGAGGAUUACUCUUCUAUCAAAUUUCAUUUGAAAAUUCAUACAGGAAGGUAGUUAACUAAACCAUCAAAGUUCAAGAAAUUUCCCCAAGGUAAAACUGUCUUCUAGCUCCUCUUUCCUUUUUAAACAUUUUGUCCAAAGUAACCAACCCAAAUCUGGUUUAUUUGUGAAACAAAGUCCAAGGAACAUUUAAUAUAAAGUUUGGUAGAUGUUGGACAUCAAAGUUUCCAAAACAACAAGUCCCAAAUCAAGCUAGGCUAUUUAACUAGCUUGAUGGAGGAUUUUUAUUCUCUGCAUCAGUUUCGAAAUAUGGCAACAACUCACUCAAUUCAACUUAGAAUUGAGCAUGGUUGGUGGCGUUGGAAAAAAAAUUCAUAAAGAUGAAUUUUAUCAGAAGAAACCAUUUUCAAAUUCUAUCCACAAACAGCUCGUUUUUGAGCAUCAAGAUACAAGUCCUGUCCUGUCUCCUGGAGAGAAACGAAAUAGGAUAGUGAUUUUCAAUUGAAUGGUGUGGCUCACUCAAGUGGAACCAGAAUGUGCAUUUGGUACCAAUGGAAAGAUGGGAAUGUCUAGUUUCCAAUGCCACAAACGGCACUUGAUUUCGACAUCGGAGCAAAGCGUUAUGGCCAAUACAAAAUGACUGCCUGGGCAAUACGGGAUUCAUUUUCCAGUUUUGCUAACUUUGGAAAUCAACUCAUUUGACCAACCAAAUCAUAUUAUUUUUCAAUGAAAUUUUAUACACCAUCUAUACAACAUAAAAACAUCAUAUACAAGCCAUUAAACCCUCAAAAUUCUGCAGAAAAGGGUACGAUCAAAGCAGGGGCAAAAUCGGAACUUUUUACUUCAUGCACCCCUUGAAGUUUCUACUAGGUAUACACCAUUAAUCUACCAUUUUGAGUACUAAACCAACAUUAAAUCCAUCAUCAAGCAUGAGAUCAGUCCCCAAGACAAAGGUGGGAGUUCAUAGAGCCCACCCAUUUCAUUUUACACCAAAUUAAAGCUACCCAUGAGAAUUCAAGAGCUCAUGAGUAUAAUCUAACUUUCAUAAAUCAAGAAUUAAGAGGUUGAUCGUUCAUUACCUCUCUUGAUGACUAAAUCAGAAUUUUUGGUCACUUUGAAGCUCAAGAAAACCGUGGAAAUGAAGCCCCUUUUCUAGCUUAAGAUGAUCACCAAGUGAUUAGCUAGGUGUGGUUCAAUUUUGGUGGAGUUUGGUGGUGUUUUGUUGAAGAAAUGAAGAUGGAAUUUGAAGAGCUUUGAGUU